rnacentral:rRNA from 1 species
UACGUAGGGGGCAAGCGUUAUCCGGAAUCACUGGGCGUAAAGGGUGCGUAGGUGGUCAAACAAGUCAGGUGUGAAACCCCAGGGCUUAACCUUGGGCAUGCAUAAGAAACUGCAGGACUUGAGGGCAAGAGAGGAAAGUGGAAUUCCUAGUGUAGCGGUGAAAUGCGUAGAUAUUGGGAGGAACACCAGUGGCGAAGGCGACUCUCUGGACUGCAACUGACGCUGAGGCGCGAAAGCUGGGGGAGCGAACGGG